rnacentral:rRNA from 1 species
UACAGAGGUGGCAAGCGUUGUUCGGAAUUACUGGGCGUAAAGGGCGCGUAGGCGGCCAUCUAAGUCAGACGUGAAAUCCCCCGGCUUAACCUGGGAACUGCGUCUGAUACUGGAGGGCUUGAGUGCGGGAGAGGGAUGUGGAAUUCCAGGUGUAGCGGUGAAAUGCGUAGAUAUCAGGAGGAACACCGGUGGCGAAGGCGGCAUCCUGGACCGGCAUUGACGCUGAGGCGCGAAAGCUAGGGGAGCAAACGGG